CAUGAUUUGGUGCAAAACUAUGCUAACUGGUGGGAUAAUAGAUUAAAUAAGAGGAAUGCAAAAGCUCCCGAUUUCAAGCACAAAGAAACCAGUAAAGGGUUGUGGCUUGAUUCUUCAUCAAAGUGGGUGUUGGAAAAAUUGCCGCCACCUAUGAAGCCUAAACAAAGUGUAGAUACUGAAAGGACACUGGUUUCAUAAGCAAUGGACAGUGAAGUGGAAAAUGAAGUCAUUCUCUUUGUUACACUUCCAUGUAAUUAACUUAUGCCUUCCCAAGUUCUGUUUUUGUGACAUUUAUUUUUAUAAAACUAAGCAUUUCAACCAUUCGGCUACUAAGCAUUUGACUUGCAGUCUUUACCUAGGCGGAUAUAGAUAUAUUAGCUAGCUGCUUCUGAUGUGAAAAUGCAUUAAUCAUCAGACAAAAUUUCUACUACUUCUGUACAUCCUUAUUCCGCAUAUGAGGGGAAGUGUUUUUGCUCAAUUGAUGGUGGAUUUCAUGUUCCUAAUAUGAAAGUGCAUUUUGGAAUU